CUGCCUUCGACCUUUUGAGGUAGAAUAUGCCUUGAGAGAGGUCUAUGAAGUCAUCUAUUGCAACUACUUGUUGGCAGGGUCUUAGCUUACAAGGUCCUAUGACAAGGCUACUACUGGCCAAGCAUCUAUAAAGACACUACUGAGUUCAUGAAGUAGUACAACCAGUGCCAAUGACACUUGAGCAUUCAACACUUGCUGGUGGCCCUCCUA
rnacentral:lncRNA from 1 species